UGGGGAAUAUUGCACAAUGGGCGCAAGCCUGAUGCAGCAACGCCGCGUGAGGGACGACGGCCUUCGGGUUGUAAACCUCUUUUAGCAAGGAAGAAGCGAAAGUGACGGUACUUGCAGAAAAAGCGCCGGCUAACUACGUGCCAGCAGCCGCGGUAAUACGUAGGGCGCAAGCGUUAUCCGGAAUUAUUGGGCGUAAAGAGCUCGUAGGCGGUUUGUCGCGUCUGCUGUGAAAACCCGAGGCUCAACCUCGGGCCUGCAGUGGGUACGGGCAGACUAGAGUGCGGUAGGGGAGAUUGGAACUCCUGGUGUAGCGGUGGAAUGCGCAGAUAUCAGGAAGAACACCGAUGGCGAAGGCAGAUCUCUGGGCCGUAACUGACGCUGAGGAGCGAAAGGGUGGGGAGCAAACAGGCUUAGAUACCCUGGUAGUCCACCCGUAAACGUUGGGAACUAGUUGUGGGGUCCAUUCCACGGAUUCCGUGACGCAGCUAACGCAUUAAGUUCCCCGCCUGGGGAGUACGGCCGCAAGGCU
rnacentral:rRNA from 1 species